rnacentral:lncRNA from 1 species
AAAUUAAAAAUAUCAAUAUAUUUAUUAUAUAUAAGAGUGUAGGAUACAUAUGCAUUACAAUAAACAAAUACCAAUAUUAUUGGUGCAACAGAAUAUCAUUCAUAUCAAUUUGACUAUAGAGAACACAACUAUGUAGAAUAUUACACCAUAGCAGAUGCAUCAAUUCGACCAAAGAAAAAGAUCUUGGGAAUGAUAUUACAUUUUUCAAUCUAUCAAUGUAAACUACAGGUAUUGCUAAGUAAAAUCUUCUUUGCUGCUUGAUCCAGCCGAAGAAUUCAGCUGCAACUCAAUUAUCCUUCUUUUGAAUCUGUAAAAGAAAAUUAAACCUUACAGUUAUAUGUGAUUAAACGUAUACAAAUAUAAAUUCGAAAUAUGAAAGAAAAAAUACUUUAACUUACAAAAGCUCAAGGCCAUGCAAUUAAGUAUCCUGAAGCAAAAGCAUCACCAAUUCUCUGCAAUAAGAAACUCCCCUUGCUAACUCCUCAUUAUCCAGAAUAGGUUCAUCCAUGGCAAAGUUAUAAAGAAUAUAAACAUUCUAUAUGAAUUAUCAAUGAGCGCGUCCAUAUGACUACAUAAACAUAUACCUGGAAACCAGUAGCCAGCAUUACAAUGCCUUUAAGCAACAUGGAACUGUUAUUCAUAAACCCUUGAGGCAUCGACACUAACCGAGCUCCCCGCAAACAUUCUGCAAGAGUAGAAUGAUAAAUAACUCGACAUAGAAAUAGAUGUACAACCACAAGCUACAAACUAUAAGCAUGCAGUAUAAACAAAUGUUCAACAGAUUUGGAAUUUAAUGUAUAACCUAUUUUGCACAUAAUGUAAUGACAGGUACUCCCACCGUUCCAAAAUAGAUGACUCAACUUUGUACUAACUUUAGUAUAAAGCCGGGUCAUCUAUUUUGGAACGGAGGGAGUACUUGGUAAAAGGUCAUGGUAUCUUACAUUUUACCUAAAUAACAAAGUAACCAGGAUGGGUACUUGGUAAACUGUGAUGCUAUCACCCAUUGGAUUAUAUCAAACUAGCAGAUGAGAUUGAGAUACGAGAAAUAUAAUAAUUAAUGUGGAAAUGGACAGACAAGCAUCUGCUGUAUUUUCAUAGUGAUAAUUGGGAUAUACUACACCAAAAUGAUCUUACAUCUACUGUUGUACGGCCUGCAGAACCCUUACCAGGAAAAGCACUAUGUAUUACACCUAAAUUCCCUGUCAGUAAAGUAGAUAUGCAUAUUGUUGUACGGCCUGCAGAACCCUUACCAGAAAAAGCACUAUGUAUUACACCUAAAUUCCCUGUCAGCAAAGUAGAUAUCCAUAGUGCUCUGCACAAUCUCUGUUAUGUGAUCUGGGACACCAUCUUCUCCAACAUUGCCUCUGCAUUAAUUCAUGGAAUGACAUGAGCACAUAAGUAUAUUGAGUAGAAGAGUAAACUCAUCAAAGGAACUCAAAGUAAUGAUACAAACUUUCUACAAGAUACUUAUAUUCCUGAAAGGCAUGCACCGGGCUAGCCUGAAUCUGUGAUACUUGCUUACUUGAAUAAUAUGUGCUGGCUACGCUGAAUCUGUGAUACUUACUUUCCUGAAAUAUAUGUGCUAGGCUAGACCGAAUCUGUACCAGAUUAUUAUCACUAGACGAUCUAGAAAUACACAUAUAUACAACAUUGAUUGCGCUAAAUCAAUUGCAUGCCCAAUUAAUUUAAUUCUGAAAUUGCUAAUUGACUGGGAACAACAAGCAGCCAAGCAGCAAUUAUUCAUGGGUAUUGGGUAGAAAGCAGCAACAGCGCAAGUAUUCAGUCAAAUGAGCAGCCGGACACAAGAUCUGUGAGCCACCCACAACAGACUCAUUGUAAAUCUGGGAAGAGCUUGCAAAAACUGAGUACAGUACAUCUAGUAAAUUUCCACGAGAUUACACAAAAGCAUGCACCCACUGUUUGAUGUUCCAGGAGAUGUCACAAUAUUCAGUCAGCUAUCUUCAGGUAAUGACAAUGUCCACCGCAGGCCUUUCGGGCUUUUGACAUUAUUCACUCGGGUCCUGCUUAACAGGGAUAAGUAGUAGUGUUAGUAACAGAACAAUAAGUUGAGAAAUGCAUAGCUAGGUGAGGUGCACGCCUGCCUGUAAUUCUAAUUCUAAGUUGUGUCACUGGAUAGUCUGGCCAGGUGAGGUGCACGCUUGCCUGUACAUACACUGAUCAUGAAUGGCAUGCAGAACCUAGAAACAGAUUUCCACUAGGCGUCGAGAUAGCAACGACAGUGUAUCUUACGCCUUACGCCCUAAAUUAGCUGCCAUCGUAGUUAGCUGCCAAUAUUCAAAUCAUGUGUUCCUGGUUAGAUAAUCAGGCGCCUGUUUACAGAACAGGGCGUCUUAUAAGUACAGGGCACCUAAAACCAGAUGAACACAAUCUAAUUCAUCAGUAUAAGUACUUGUUUACGAAACAUGGCGUCUUUAAAAUUUAUAGAAUAAUUCCACUUGAUCCAGUGCAUACAAUAUUAUUGUGAUGCGGUCCACUAAGUUCACACCUGACGCACAAGAAACUAGUACUGUACAUAGUAGAACACAGACACCCCAGAGUACCACUUAAUCUCCAAAUCACAAAACAAUAACAUACAGCUCUUGACCAGUUCCACUGCACAAGCCGAUGGCUCCCUCACAAGCAUUCAAUCAAACGAGUAGCCGAGGGCAGCAGCCGGCAACUCGAUGGAUGAACUCCAAUUCACAGAGAUGAAGACAUGAGAGGAUGGUGGGUUUGAGGUUACCUGCCGUCUGGAGGAGAGGAUGCUGGAGACUGAGGUCGCCAGUCCAGUCCAGGAGGCGGAGGUGGUGUCGAGUCCAGCGGCAGUGACGGCAUUGAGCCCA